CAUUUCGCAAUCAAAGUUUGAUGCUAUUGACAAAGCAAGGAAGAAACAUUUAAUUACAACUUAAAAGAAACUCGCAAUGCACAUGCACAAUAUCUAAAAUGUAACAAACCAAAACUUCAUGAGAAACCAAGCUACUAUACCACUUGAUAUACCAUAACAGUAAGUUUCAAAAGAACAAUAAUUAACAGCAUAGCGAAGUUUAAGAUUAGCGAUUGCGUGAAGUUGAUCAAAAACUUAAUAUAAGGGAAAACUUUUUGUAUCCUGAGACAAAAAUACUUGUAGUCUAGUUAUAGAAAGCUCACUCUUGAUAGGUAAUCACAAACUCAGCAGAGGGUCUCAAUUUACUAGCCAAUCGCGAUAAAAAUCGGGACACACACUUGAUUCCACAAAUCUCACACCUUCGUCUUUUUGAAACGAUAACGAACUUCUCCAAAAUCACUGCAUUCUUUAACAAAAAGUUUGAAAGUUUGAAAAGCUUCCUGAUAUAUUCCCAGUUGAGAUGCUCCUUCAUGCACAUCCCAGAGGAGAUGGCAAUCUCAACAUUCUUUAGGUUGGGAAACACAAAGCUUGAAUUAUAACUCUGCAAAUCAACACUAUAGCCUUUGACCAAAUAUUUU